AUACGGAGGGUGCGAGCGUUAAUCGGAAUUUCUGGGCGUAAAGCGUACGUAGGCGGUUUGCUAAGUCAGAUGUGAAAGCCCCGGGCUUAACCUGGGAACUGCAUUUGAUACUGGCAGACUAGAGUAUGAUAGAGGGGGGUAGAAUUCCUGGUGUAGCGGUGAAAUGCGUAGAUAUCAGGAGGAAUACCAGUGGCGAAGGCGGCCCCCUGGAUCAAUACUGACGCUGAGGUACGAAAGCGUGGGGAGCGAACAGGAUUAGAUACCCUAGUAGUCC
rnacentral:rRNA from 1 species